rnacentral:rRNA from 1 species
UAGGGAAUUUUCCGCAAUGGGCGAAAGCCUGACGGAGCAACGCCGCGUGAGAGAUGAAGGUCUUCGGAUCGUAAAACUCUGUUAUUAGGGAAGAACAAAUGUGUAAGUAACUAUGCACGUCUUGACGGUACCUAAUCAGAAAGCCACGGCUAACUACGUGCCAGCAGCCGCGGUAAUACGUAGGUGGCAAGCGUUAUCCGGAAUUAUUGGGCGUAAAGCGCGCGUAGGCGGUUUUUUAAGUCUGAUGUGAAAGCCCACGGCUCAACCGUGGAGGGUCAUUGGAAACUGGAGAACUUGAGUGCAGAAGAGGAAAGUGGAAUUCCAUGUGUAGCGGUGAAAUGCGCAGAGAUAUGGAGGAACACCAGUGGCGAAGGCGACUUUCUGGUCUGUAACUGACGCUGAUGUGCGAAAGCGUGGGGAUCAAACAGG